rfam:Picea glauca, whole genome shotgun sequence.
GUAACGGUGUCUUUAGACACCAAAUUUUGUAUUCUAAAUAUUAUUU